UGGUUCCUUCCUUCCGCCUUU
rnacentral:piRNA from 1 species